AGUGAACGCUGGCGGCGUGCUUAAGACAUGCAAGUCGAACGGCAGUCUUCGGACUGUAGUGGCGCACGGGUGAGUAACGCGUAACUGACCUACCACAAAGUCGCGGAUAACGAUUCGAAAGAAUCGCUAAUACGUGAUGUGCUGUCAGAUUGUGUUCUGCCAGUAAAGAUUGAUUGCUUUGGGAUGGGGUUGCGUUCCAUCAGCUAGUUGGUGGGGUAAAGGCCCACCAAGGCGACGACGGAUAGCCGGCCUGAGAGGGUGGCCGGCCACAGGGGCACUGAGACACGGGUCCCACUCCUACGGGAGGCAGCAGUUAGGAAUCUUCCACAAUGGGCGAAAGCCUGAUGGAGCGACGCCGCGUGAGGGAUGAAGGUCUUCGGAUCGUAAACCUCUGAAUCAGGGACGAAAGACACUUCGGUGGGAUGACGGUACCUGAGUAAUAGCACCGGCUAACUCCGUGCCAGCCGCCGCCGUAAAAC
rnacentral:rRNA from 1 species